rnacentral:tRNA from 1 species
GCGCCCUUAGCUCAGCUGGAUAGAGCAACCGCCUUCUAAGCGGUCGGUCAGUGGUUCGAGUCCACUAGGGCGCA